GAAACCGAUAGAAUGCUAGAAUCUACAUAAAGGAUUACCUAGGAUUUUAAUUAAUAAUAUUAACAAUUUAUUUAUGUUGAAUAAUACAAAUAUUAACAUUGCAUAAAAUGUUCAAUAAAAACGUCGAUUGAGCAGUUUCAGCCUGAUUUCAACCCCAUAGAGUAUGUGUGGAAUAUGCCAGGAGGAAUGGCAAAGUAUUCCUCAAGACCCUUAUUCGUAAAUGAAUUGACAGCGGUGGCAAUACAAAAUAUUAGGCUAGGUUUGUUGUAAAAAAAGGGUUUCAUUACGUUAGUCAAGUUG